UACGGAGGGGGCUAGCGUUGUUCGGAAUUACUGGGCGUAAAGCGCACGUAGGCGGAUGUUUAAGUCGGGGGUGAAAUCCCGGGGCUCAACCCCGGAAUGGCCUUCGAUACUGGACGUCUGGAGGUCGGGAGAGGCGAGUGGAAUUCCGAGUGUAGAGGUGAAAUUCGUAGAUAUUCGGAGGAACACCAGUGGCGAAGGCGGCUCGCUGGCCCGAUACUGACGCUGAGGUGCGAAAGCGUGGGGAGCAAACAGG
rnacentral:rRNA from 1 species